rnacentral:lncRNA from 1 species
AUGUACCGGGUGACACGUCUCCGAGAAGAGCUCUCCAGGUGCACGGGGCCAGGGAUGGACACGGAGCCGCAGGAGAGGUCUGUGAGCUCACAGGUCCUGGAGCCUUCGGGCCUGCGUGCCGGUGCGGCGGGACCCCAGCAGCUCCGCGCAGAGAAGGGCGCUCUCACCUGCCCGGCUAGCUGGCGUGUGGGCGUCCGGCUUGAACAGCUCCCUACAGGCUCUGGGAGCAGGUGCAGCAGGUGCUCAUGGUCUAGAGGACCACCCAGCGAGGCGAACACCUAUUUCAUGCAACUGAGAGCUGAACAAACUGGAACAUUUGUGAACCAGGUGAAGUCCAACGCUGGCGGCAGAGGGCGGAGGCUCAGGGAGGAUGGUGGCGGGUCUCUGGGGCCUGGCAGCGGGCUGGGCGAGCUCAGAGAACCACUGGGCCGAGCUCAGGCUCUCCGGCGGCAGCAGGGAUGCGGGCGUCGUUGGCCACUUGGCUUCGUCCUGUGGAGAAAAAAGCAUCAAUGUCCUCUGUGCUCUGAAUUUUCUUCAUUAUUUGGAAGAUCUGGGAAGUGA